rnacentral:rRNA from 1 species
GGUUUUUUGAUAAAUAAUUUAAAAUUAGUUCUGCUCAGUGAUUAUUAAAUAGCCGCAGUAUCUUGACUGUGCAAAGGUAGCAUAAUCAAUUGUUUUUUAAAUGAAAACUGGAAUGAAGGAAUUGAUGAGAUUAAAACUGUUUAAUAAAUAAAUUUAAAAUUUAAAUUUUAAGUUAAAAUUCUUAAAAGAAAUUAUGGGACGAGAAGACCCUAUAGAAUUUAAUAUAAAGUUUAUAGUUAUUUUAUUGAUAAUUAAAUAUAAGUAACUUUAAUAAAUUUAUAUAACCAUAAUUGAUGAAAAAUAUAUAGAAUUAAUUACCUUAGGGAUAACAGCGUAAUAUUUUUAGAAAGAUCAUAUUGAUAAAAAUGAUUGCGACCUCGAUGUUGAAUUAAAAUGAAAAUUAAAUGGAGAAGUUUAAUAUU